rnacentral:rRNA from 1 species
CCUACGGGAGGCUGCAGUGGGGAAUAUUGGACAAUGGGCGAAAGCCUGAUCCAGCCAUGCCGCGUGUGUGAAGAAGGCCUUCGGGUUGUAAAGCACUUUCAGUGGGGAAGAAAGCCUUGGGGCUAAUACCCUCGAGGAAGGACAUCACCCACAGAAGAAGCACCGGCUAACUCCGUGCCAGCAGCCGCGGUAAUACGGAGGGUGCGAGCGUUAAUCGGAAUUACUGGGCGUAAAGCGCGCGUAGGCGGUCUGAUAAGCCGGUUGUGAAAGCCCCGGGCUCAACCUGGGAACGGCAUCCGGAACUGUCAGGCUAGAGUGCAGGAGAGGAAGGUAGAAUUCCCGGGGUAGCGGUGAAAUGCGUAGAGAUCGGGAGGAAUACCAGUGGCGAAGGCGGCCUUCUGGACUGACACUGACGCUGAGGUGCGAAAGCGUGGGUAGCAAACAGGAUUAGAUACCCCUGUAGUC